AUGAAGCACCAUUCGUUACUGAAGCUGAGAAGGCAGUACAAAAACAGUUUGUGUCGUGUACUGAAGAUGCAGUGCGCAAUUUACGCGUCGCUGAGGAGGAGAUGAAGAAUUUGAAGAGCGAUGGUCCAGUAUUGAGUGAAGAUCAAAAAAUAGCUGUUCAAAAUGCGAUAGAGCAAAAGUUAGGUCUUUCAGCUGCUGCGGUCGCUACACUGCUUGCUAGUAACCAAACAGAUACUGUUGACUACAACACUGCAUCGAAGUCAAUGAAGACUUUAUCCGAUUUAAUGCCGGCAGUUGUGAAAG